rnacentral:rRNA from 1 species
UACGUAGGGUGCAAGCGUUAAUCGGAAUUACUGGGCGUAAAGCGUGCGCAGGCGGUUAUGUAAGACAGAUGUGAAAUGCCCGGGCUUAACCUGAGAACUGCAUUUGUGACUGCAUGGCUAGAGUUUGGCAGAGGGGGGUAGAAUUCCACGUGUAGCAGUGAAAUGCGUAGAUAUGUGGAGGAACACCGAUGGCGAAGGCAGCCCCCUGGGUCAAGACUGACGCUCAUGCACGAAAGCGUGGGGAGCAAACAGG